rnacentral:rRNA from 1 species
CCUACGGGAGGCAGCAGUGAGGAAUAUUGGUCAAUGGGCGCUAGCCUGAACCAGCCAAGUAGCGUGAAGGAUGACUGCCCUAUGGGUUGUAAACUUCUUUUAUAUGGGAAUAAAGUGCAGUAUGUAUACUGCUUUGCAUGUACCUUAUGAAUAAGGAUCGGCUAACUCCGUGCCAGCAGCCGCGGUAAUACGGAGGAUCCGAGCGUUAGCCGGAUUUAUGGGGUUUAAAGGGAGCGUAGGCGGGUUGUUAAGUCAGUUGUUAAAGUUUGCGGCUCAACCGUAAAAUUGCAGUUGAUACUGGCGUCCUUGAGUACAGUAGAGGUAGACGGAAUUCGUGGUGUAGCGGUGAAAUGCUUAGAUAUCACGAAGAACUCCGAUUGCGAAGGCAGCCUGCUGGACUGUAACUGACGCUGAUGCUCGAAAGUGUGGGUAUCAAACAGGAUUAGAUACCCGAGUAGUC